CCACCUCUCCCACUCGCUCCUACACUACCCCGCGCCGCCGGCGCCUGCCACCCCACCGCCGGCCGCUCGUCGUCCGGUCGCCGCCGCCCUCUCGGCGUCUGCCCGCCGCCUCCCCCGCCUCCCUUCGUCGCCCGGCACCACCUCCGGCGCCCUCUUAUCCCCCGCGGAGACGACACCCUUUGCCCUGACCGCCGCCUCCUUGGCCUGCACCACUUCCGCCGCCCUUGGCCCUGACCGCCGCCGCUGCCUUGGCCUGCAGCUCGAGUUCCACGGCAGAUGACUGAUUGGGCUACCUACCACGACUGCAUGCCGAUUGCUUUGUUGGUUUGAAGCGACGACCCUUGCUGGAAGAGUUGGUUCGCGACUGAACUCGCUACUUUGGCAAUCGGCAUGGUCACAUGAGCAAAGCAUGACUAUGGUCCCAAAUCAUUUUGCUCAAGAAUUGGUAUGGAGAUACUGACACGCCGGCAAGAAUGAAUUUGUUUCGAACUCACAAGGACUGGUGGCUUUUCUGGGUCCAUUCAAGAUGAUGGCAUAUUUUUCUUCUACUGAGGAGCUUCUGGAGUCAUGUUCAAGUCUGUUUCGAAAUACAGACUACAGAUGGCAUAUAAUGUAGCAUGUUUUUCUACUUUAUCUGUAAUUUCACAGAUGUUCCAUUGUAUAUAAUGCAAACAAGAGAUGUAAUUUCACAGAUGUAAUUUCUGCACAUUUUCUAGGCAUGCCUGGAAUUUAUUUGUGAAUCUGUCAUUUGUAAGAAUAAAUAUUAGCAAGAUCAUUGUAAAUGAAUUUCUGCAAGUAUCUUCUCUAAAACCAUUGGAGUUA